GUAUAGUUAAGUGACUAAGCGUACAAGGUGGAUGCCUUGGCAAUCAGAGGCGAAGAAGGACGUGCUAAUCUGCGAAAAGCUUGGAUGAGUCGAUAAGAGGCGUUUAAUCCAAGAUAUCCGAAUGGGGAAACCCAGUAGAUGAAGAAUCUACUAUCAACAAGUGAAUUCAUAGCUUGUUGAGGCAAACCGGGAGAACUGAAACAUCUAAGUACCCCGAGGAAAAGAAAUCAACCGAGAUUUCGUCAGUAGCGGCGAGCGAAAGCGAAAGAGCCAGUAAGUGAUAGCAGUAUAGUUAGGAGAAUGUGUUGGGAAGCACAAUCAAAGAGGGUGAUAAUCCCGUAUCUAAAAACCAUAUUGUGGUACUAAGCUAACGAGAAGUAGGGCGGGACACGUGAUAUCCUGUUUGAAGAAGGGGGGACCAUCCUCCAAGGCUAAAUACUCCUGAUUGACCGAUAGUGAACCAGUACUGUGAAGGAAAGGCGAAAAGAACCCCGGUGAGGGGAGUGAAAUAGAACCUGAAACCUUGUACGUACAAGCAGUGGGAGCCCAUGGGGUGACUGCGUACCUUUUGUAUAAUGGGUCAGCGACUUAUAUUUUGUAGCGAGGUUAACUGAAUAGGGGAGCCGAAGGGAAACCGAGUCUUAACUGGGCGAGUAGUUGCAAGGUAUAGACCCGAAACCCGGUGAUCUAGCCAUGGGCAGGUUGAAGGUUGGGUAACACUAACUGGAGGACCGAACCGACUAAUGUUGAAAAAUUAGCGGAUGACUUGUGGCUGGGGGUGAAAGGCCAAUCAAACCGGGAGAUAGCUGGUUCUCCCCGAAAUCUAUUUAGGUAGAGCCUUGAGGUGACACCUUUGGGGGUAGAGCACUGUUUCGGCUAGGGGGCCAUCCCGGCUUACCAACCCGAUGCAAACUACGAAUACCAAAGAGUGAUACUCAGGAGACACACGGCGGGUGCUAACGUCCGUCGUGGAGAGGGAAACAACCCAGACCGCCAGCUAAGGUCCCCAAGUCUAUAUUAAGUGGGAAACGAAGUGGGAAGGCUUAGACAGCUAGGAUGUUGGCUUAGAAGCAGCCAUCAUUUAAAGAAAGCGUAAUAGCUCACUAGUCGAGUCGGCCUGCGCGGAAGAUGUAACGGGGCUGAAAUAUAGCACCGAAGCUGCGGCAUCAGGCGUAUCACUAAUACGCCUUACGAUUAACAAGCUAGAAUGGCGCGAAGCGACAUGAAAGGUUGUUCAAGCAACCCGAACGUUGAGUCGGGCAUCUUAGAGUGAGGAUUAUUAGUGAUACGCCUGUUGGGUAGGGGAGCGUUGUGUAAGCGGAAGAAGGUUCAUCGAGAGGUGGGCUGGACGUAUCACAAGUGCGAAUGCUGACAUAAGUAACGAUAAAACGGGUGAAAAACCCGUUCGCCGGAAGACCAAGGGUUCCUGUCCAACGUUAAUCGGGGCAGGGUGAGUCGGCU
rnacentral:rRNA from 1 species